UCCACGCCGUAAACGAUGUCUACUAGGUUGCGGGUGUUCUGACACAGUCGCGACCGAAGCAAAAGUGUUAAGUAGACCGCCUGGGGAGUACGGUCGCAAGGCUAAAACUCAAAGGAAUUGACGGGGGCUCACACAAGCGGUGGAGCAUGUGGAUUAAUUCGAAACAACGCGCAGAACCUUACCUGGGUUUGACAUGUUUGGAUGCCUAUCUGGAAACAGAGUCGGUUGCCCUU
rnacentral:rRNA from 1 species